rnacentral:rRNA from 1 species
UACCUGGGGGGCAAGCGUUGUUCGGAAUUAUUGGGCGUAAAGAGUAUGUAGGCGGCUAUUUAAGUCAGGCGUGCAAGCCCACGGCUCAACCGUGGAAUUGCGUUUGAAACUAUUUAGCUUGAGUACAGGAGAGGAAGGCGGAAUUCCCAGUGUAGCGGUGAAAUGCAUUGAUAUUGGGAAGAACACCGGUGGCGAAGGCGGCCUUCUGGUCUAAUACUGACGCUGAGAUACGAAAGCCAGGGGAGCGAACGGG